UAUGGCAUGCAUUUCUAUCUUUUAUAUAGAUAUUCAUAUUUAUGUAUUGAUUUGUGCAUUUGAUAACUUGCUUUGCAGGACGGAAAGAGUUUAUUGAAGAUUUAGCGACUAUCAAAUAUAGAAGAGAUGAUUUGAGACUGAAAGCUAUUCAACAGGAAGGUGGCGAAGGCUUGAAAUAGCCACUCCUAGUUGUUUAUAAGGAUAAGGAUCAGAAUUCUACAGCUAGUUACAGUUCAUCCGAAGAUAUUCGUGAUUUGGAGAGGUCUGUAAUCGAUGGGGACACGAAAAAUGCUGUGGAUAAUAGAAAAGGUUGGUACUCAGUCUGAUGUGUAUUAUUUCUUUGUAUGCGACUUUUAUCUUUGUCAUUUUUUUUACUAUUGGUAUGCUGCGUUCAUAUAGUAGAAACGGAUA